rnacentral:rRNA from 1 species
UGGGGAAUUUUGCACAAUGGGGGAAACCCUGAUGCAGCGACGCCGCGUGAUUUAGAAGGCCUUCGGGUUGUAAAAAUCUUUUCUAUGGGAAGAAAAUGACAGUACCAUAGGAAUAAGGACCGUCUAAUUACGUGCCAGCAGCCGCGGUAAUACGUAAGGUCCGAGCGUUGUCCGGAAUCAUUGGGCGUAAAGGGUACGCAGGCGGGUAAGCAAGUUAGAAGUGAAAUCCUAUAGCUCAACUAUAGUAAGCUUUUAAAACUGCUCAUCUUGAGGUAUGGAAGGGAAAGUGGAAUUCCUAGUGUAGCGGUGAAAUGCGCAGAUAUUAGGAGGAAUACCGGUGGCGAAGGCGACUUUCUGGCCAUAACCUGACGCUGAGGUACGAAAGCGUGGGUAGCAAACAGG